GGUAAGGUGGCUCAGUGGUAGAGCACUUGCCUUGCAUGCAUGAGGCCCUGGGUUCAAUUCCUCAGCACCA
rnacentral:tRNA from 1 species